rnacentral:rRNA from 1 species
CGGCGUCGAGCGGCGGACGGGUGAGUAAUGCCUAGGAAAUUGCCCUGAUGUGGGGGAUAACCAUUGGAAACGAUGGCUAAUACCGCAUGAUGCCUACGGGCCAAAGAGGGGGACCUUCGGGCCUCUCGCGUCAGGAUAUGCCUAGGUGGGAUUAGCUAGUUGGUGAGGUAAGGGCUCACCAAGGCGACGAUCCCUAGCUGGUCUGAGAGGAUGAUCAGCCACACUGGAACUGAGACACGGUCCAGACUCCUACGGGAGGCAGCAGUGGGGAAUAUUGCACAAUGGGCGCAAGCCUGAUGCAGCCAUGCCGCGUGUGUGAAGAAGGCCUUCGGGUUGUAAAGCACUUUCAGUCGUGAGGAAGGUAGUGUAGUUAAUAGCUGCAUUAUUUGACGUUAGCGACAGAAGAAGCACCGGCUAACUCCGUGCCAGCAGCCGCGGUAAUACGGAGGGUGCGAGCGUUAAUCGGAAUUACUGGGCGUAAAGCGCAUGCAGGUGGUUUGUUAAGUCAGAUGUGAAAGCCCGGGGCUCAACCUCGGAAUUGCAUUUGAAACUGGCAGACUAGAGUACUGUAGAGGGGGGUAGAAUUUCAGGUGUAGCGGUGAAAUGCGUAGAGAUCUGAAGGAAUACCGGUGGCGAAGGCGGCCCCCUGGACAGAUACUGACACUCAGAUGCGAAAGCGUGGGGAGCAAACAGGAUUAGAUACCCUGGUAGUCCACGCCGUAAACGAUGUCUACUUGGAGGUUGUGGCCUUGAGCCGUGGCUUUCGGAGCUAACGCGUUAAGUAGACCGCCUGGGGAGUACGGUCGCAAGAUUAAAACUCAAAUGAAUUGACGGGGGCCCGCACAAGCGGUGGAGCAUGUGGUUUAAUUCGAUGCAACGCGAAGAACCUUACCUACUCUUGACAUCCAGAGAACUUUCCAGAGAUGGAUUGGUGCCUUCGGGAACUCUGAGACAGGUGCUGCAUGGCUGUCGUCAGCUCGUGUUGUGAAAUGUUGGGUUAAGUCCCGCAACGAGCGCAACCCUUAUCCUUGUUUGCCAGCGAGUAAUGUCGGGAACUCCAGGGAGACUGCCGGUGAUAAACCGGAGGAAGGUGGGGACGACGUCAAGUCAUCAUGGCCCUUACGAGUAGGGCUACACACGUGCUACAAUGGCGCAUACAGAGGGCGGCCAACUUGCGAAAGUGAGCGAAUCCCAAAAAGUGCGUCGUAGUCCGGAUUGGAGUCUGCAACUCGACUCCAUGAAGUCGGAAUCGCUAGUAAUCGUGGAUCAGAAUGCCACGGUGAAUACGUUCCCGGGCCUUGUACACACCGCCCGUCACACCAUGGGAGUGGGUAU